rnacentral:rRNA from 1 species
UACGGAGGGGGCGAGCGUUAUUCGGAAUUAUUGGGCGUAAAGGGCGCGUAGGCGGCUUGAUAAGUCAAAGGUGAAAUCCCUCGGCUCAACUGAGGAACUGCCUUUGAAACUGUCUGGCUUGAGGCCGGGAGGGGGUAGCGGAAUUCCCAGUGUAGCGGUGAAAUGCGUAGAUACUGGGAGGAACACCGGUGGCGAAGGCGGCUACCUGGACCGGUUCUGACGCUGAUGCGCGAAAGCGUGGGUAGCAAACAGG